rnacentral:rRNA from 1 species
UACGAAGGGGCUAGCGUUGCUCGGAAUCACUGGGCGUAAAGCGCACGUAGGCGGCUUCUUAAGUCAGGGGUGAAAUCCUGGAGCUCAACUCCAGAACUGCCUUUGAUACUGAGGAGCUUGAGUCCGGGAGAGGUGAGUGGAACUGCGAGUGUAGAGGUGAAAUUCGUAGAUAUUCGCAAGAACACCAGUGGCGAAGGCGGCUCACUGGCCCGGUACUGACGCUGAGGUGCGAAAGCGUGGGAGCAAACAGG